AGAUAACAAAGAACAGCACAGGAACAGGCCCUUCAGCGCACAAUGUUUGUGUUGAGCAUGAUGCUAAGAACAUCACUU